rnacentral:rRNA from 1 species
AUGGCUCAGGAUGAACGCUAGCGGCAGGCUUAACACAUGCAAGUCGAGGGGCAUCGGGAGUAGCAAUACUUGCCGGCGACCGGCGCAAGGGUGCGUAACGCGUGAGCAACAUGCCCGUAUCAGGGGGAUAAUCCAUGGAAACGUGGUCUAAUACCCCAUAGUAAUUAUGUAAGGCAUCUUAUAUAAUUUAAAGCUUUGGUGGAUACGGAUUGGCUCGCGUGACAUUAGCUGGAUGGUAAGGUAACGGCUUACCAUGGCUACGAUGUCUAGGGGUUCUGAGAGGAGGGUCCCCCACACUGGAACUGAGACACGGUCCAGACUCCUACGGGAGGCAGCAGUGAGGAAUAUUGGACAAUGGAUGGAAAUCUGAUCCAGCCAUGCCGCGUGCAGGAAGACGGCCCUAUGGGUUGUAAACUGCUUUUGUAUGGGAGCAAUAAGGGCUACGUGUAGUCCGAUGAGAGUACCAUACGAAUAAGCACCGGCUAACUCCGUGCCAGCCGCGGC